rnacentral:rRNA from 1 species
AACGAACGCUGGCGGCAGGCUUAACACAUGCAAGUCGAACGCCCCGCAAGGGGAGUGGCGCACGGGUGAGGAACACGUGGGGAUCUGCCCUUCAGUUCGGAACAACACCGGGAAACUGGUGCUAAUACCGGAUAUACCUUUUGGUCUUGGCGACCGAUUGGGAAAGAUUUAUCGCUGAAGGAUGAACCCGCGUCUGAUUAGCUAGUUGGUGAGGUAACGGCUCACCGAGGCGACGAUCAGUAGCUGGUCUGAGAGGACGAUUAGCCACACUGGAACUGAGACACGGUCCAGACUCCUACGGGAGGCAGCAGUGGGGAAUAUUGGACAAUGGGCGAAAGCCUGAUCCAGCCAUGCCGCGUGAGUGAUGAAGGCCUUCGGGUUGUAAAGCUCUUUUAGAUGGGAAGAUAAUGACGGUACCAUCAGAAUAAGCCCCGGCUAACUUCGUGCCAGCAGCCGCCGCUGU